rnacentral:tRNA from 1 species
UGUGGCAGAGUAUAUGUAGUGGAUUUAAGCCCCAUUUAUAAAGGAUUUCCUUUUUUUAGAA